GAUGAACGCUGGCGGCGUGCUUAACACAUGCAAGUCGAACGGAAAGGCUCCUGCUUGCAGGGGUACUCGAGUGGCGAACGGGUGAGUAACACGUGGGUGAUCUGCCCUGCACUUCGGGAUAAGCCUGGGAAACUGGGUCUAAUACCGGAUAGGACCACAUUUUGGAUGGUGUGGUGGAAAGUUUUUCGGUGUGGGAUGAGCUCGCGGCCUAUCAGCUUGUUGGUGGGGUAAUGGCCUACCAAGGCGUCGACGGGUGGCCGGCCUGAGAGGGUGUACGGCCACAUUGGGACUGAGAUACGGCCCAGACUCCUACGGGAGGCAGCAGUGGGGAAUAUUGCACAAUGGGCGCAAGCCUGAUGCAGCGACGCCGCGUGGGGGAUGACGGCCUUCGGGUUGUAAACUCCUUUCACUAGGGACGAAGCGCAAGUGACGGUACCUGGAGAAGAAGCACCGGCUAACUACGUG
rnacentral:rRNA from 1 species